UGCAAGCGUACUCUGCAUCUUUCGUAACUUUUUAGAAUAGUUAGAUGCAAUUUGAAGCUUGCAAGAGUAAAUGCGAUUUCAUAUUCCCGAUGUCAUCAUGUGAUGACAUCGAUGCAAAUGGUCGCUACAAUGA
rnacentral:snoRNA from 1 species